CAAGCUAAGCAAGCUGCAGCUCUUCUUUAGGUGUCAUCGGAAUAAUAAUAUCAGAAGAAAAAGAGGGAACUGGGAGAAUACACAAAGGAGCGUUCCUCGUCCUCUGAGUUUUACAUUUUUACACCUGAAUGGUUGUGAGUAAUAAAAUGAGAAAAACCGUUAAUUUGGUUGGUAUAAUUCUCUUUGAUAUCACUUUCUUGUUAGCAUUUUCACUGUCUCCGACUAUUCUCUUUGAUAUUACUGUUAUUUUACCGUGAAAGCCGUGCACGUCUCAGAAUCCCUCAAAGCCGUACUCCAUCGCCGAACACAACGAGUCCAACAUGUAAAGAACUGAUUCCAAACACUCUAGUCCUAAACAAGGCAACACAUCGACUAACUGGGAACAGCCUCGACACUAACCAUCAAGUUCCUAACUUGUCUAUGAACCGAGAUCGAUUUGAGCAGUGCCAAAGGCAGGUGAGACGCUAUAGGCAAAUACAUGGCGGAAGACAAAAAUAUUAAAUGUUGAUGUAUAUAUGAAGGCUCUGUGCCAAUGUGAAUUAUAACGGAAAGAAUAAACCUAAACUAUUACAAGUGGUCCUUGAACUCAUUUUUGGUAAUUUCCUCUGCUCCAUUCUUUUACUAACUAUGAGAUGAACAUGUACUCCUAUGCAAACUCCUCGUCGCUCGUCUGCUUCUCCUGCAUUUGAGGCGGUUGUGGCAGCGGCUGAGAAGCAUGUGUCGUCAUGUAUACCAUACGCAGAACUGUUAUUCAUCCCCGACUCAAACUCAGCAUCCAUUUGAUGAUUUUGCUCGUGCUGCUUGUUGAAAACUCGAGUCCUCGUUGUUGUCAAACUGUGAUGAUGCGGCUGCUGCGGUUGCGUGUAACCCCAGUGCUGCUGCGGUUGAGACAUAACACUCGUCUGCGUUUCAAACGCUUGCUGCGGUUGCAAGAAACCGGGAAGUUGCUGCGGCUGAGACAUAACACCAGUCUGUGCUUCAUACGCUUGCUGCGGUUGCAAGAAACAAUUCUUCCCACCAUACCAACCUAGGAAAUAAGUUAACUAAAAGUUAAGUUGGGACAUUUUACUAAAUCUGUUAUCUCCACUAAGUUUCUAAUCAUUACAAUUUGAUUAUUAUUUCGUUUUAUUUUAAUGUAUUUUAGUUUGUGAUAAAAAACUUAUAUUAAAGUUAAAUAUAAUAAAGGAGUUAUAAUAUUUUAAAUAACACAAACAAACAUAAAUUACAUAAAAAUUUAUAAAAACAAUCUUAAAAAUGAUAAAACAGAAUAUCAAACUAUAAUCGUAAUAAUAAUUAAGUAAGCCUUAAUCUUCACUUAAUAAUGUGCCAAAUGUUUUCCAUAUAUGCUCAACCAAAUCAAAUUUUAAUUGGUGAUACAUAUUUCGAUUACAAACUCGAAUCCGAUUACCAAGAAUGUUAGCUAUAAUAGCAGGCAUAUUUGUAGAAUAUGUAAGAGAUACAAAAUGUUAUGAUACUUGAUAAGCUAAACAUGAAGUCUAUAUAUAGAGAAAAAAAAUAAUAAGUAUACAUAAUUAUUUUUAAAUAUCAAAUCUUAGUAAUAUUUUUUAGUUUUGAAAUUUAUAUUUUAGUACCUUUAUAUUAUUUAAAAACCUAAAUACUAUUAUUCUAUUAGACUUCAAUUAUUUCAAUUUAAUAUUAUAUAUUUUUAUAUUUAUAUAAACAUUAUAUAUUGUGACUAUAUUUACAUAAAUUUUCCAAAGUUUUAUUAUCUUAUUGUAUUCUUAAAUUGUAUUAUAUUUUACACUGACCAGACUUAAUAUGAUGAAAUUUCUUAAUUAUCAUAUUUAGUAAUUUAUUGAAUAUUAAAUCAUAUAGUUUUUACCGCAAUUCCCAAUGUUACAAACUUGCAAGACAUCACACACACACACAACAAAACUUGCAUUAGAACAAUUGAAGCAUGUUGGGGUUAUGCUCUGUUUCCUCUUCAGUGAUUCUCAGAUUCUUCCUUUUUGAUCAUAAGAAAACAGUUCUUUUGUCACAUCUCACCUCUAGAUUCUCUAGGUUCUUCACUGAAUAUAGCCUUUGAUAAAACAAAAUAAAUAGUAGUCAUUAACGGCCUCAAUAUAUAUUGAUGUGCAUUAAUUCAACUUCUUAACAAUUUCUAGAAAUUUCCCCCUAAUUGGACCUUGGGAGUUUACAAUGUUAAGAAGCUUCCCUAUUAACGUGAAUAAUAAUAAUUUAAACAGGGAAGAAUCGUAUUUGGUCAGUGGUAGAUAUACGUAGCACAUACUCCAAUUAAUUCCCUACAGCUCAUUGCUUCCAUUUGUCAGCCUAUCCGAUGCCGACCAUAUUGAAGUCUUUUAUUUUUAAAAUUAUUUUUUGAUUAUCAAUUGCUUGAUAAAAUAAUUCAAAAUACAACAGUAUAACCCCGCACGUACGCCUCCGUAGUACCCUGUGAACAUCUUUAGACGCAUUAACUAGUACUAAUUACUUUAAACAUUAUAUAUACAAAAAUACAUUAUCAUGAAUUAAUCAUAUACGGCCAACCCUUAACUUCUAGAAAAAAAAUAGUUGUGGAUAUACUGCCGAUGCAUGUAUAGGCCAUUAGGGAUCCAACACAUACAUAUUAUGACCUUUCUAAACGUUAUAUAUCAAAUAUAAGUUUGACAUCCUCACAGUUUUUUUUUUUUAAUUUAACCACAGUGUCUGGCGACCGAGAUUAACCGACUAUUCUGUGAAAUCCAGAAGUACAAUGUUAAAUUCUGGUGGCCAACAAAAAUCGAACUGCAGAUUCACCGUAUCAGGGUUAUUCCUCAAGUGCUACUAGCCUAAGGCCCGUUGGUUACAUCCUCACAGUUACCAACAUAUUUAACAUGUUUACCAAAAAAACACAUAAUUAUAAAAAAAAAUUAAAUAUCACUAGAUGCAUAUAUUCCUAAAUUAUGACAUCUUUGCAGCAAUAUAUUAGUUUUAUAUUUAUAAUGUUUAGAUGAUAUUCUAAAUAUUUUUAUAUCAUCAAAUAUUAUUUUAAUAUGUAGUCAGUAAAGUGACGACAAAAAAUGUAGUCAGUAAAGUAAAUGAUCAAAAUUAAUGAAAUAGAACGUCUCCUUCGAGACGCGUUGACGAUUGCACUAGUGAAGCUUGUGUGUUGUGAGGGCAUCUCCAUCCCAACUCCAUUUUUUCCUUUAAAAUGGAGUAAAAGUUGAUAUGAAGUAAGAAAUGCUUCAACCCAACUCCAUAUUUCACUUCAUAAUGAAAUUUACUUCAUAAAUGGAGUAGUUUAUUUUUUGUUUGUUCAUCACUCCAUAAUAGAGUGGGAAAUGGAGUAGGGUUGGAGCAAUUUUACUUCAUUUUCACUUUUACUCCAUUUUGAAGGAAAACUUGUCUUAACCUAUUAUAGUGAAUUCAGAGCUCUAUCUCACCUGCAAAGGCCACCAAUUCUUAAAUAAUUGCAGGUUGUCAGUUGAUCGACAAGGCAUGGGAAAGUUUCGAGGAUGUCCAGGUUAAAGAUCGGAGUUUGAUAUGGUAAAAAAAAGAAGAAGAAAAUAUACUUUUAUCAUUGUGAAUCGAUAUUAUUAAUUAUUAAUGUAAAUUAAGGGUGUGGUAAAACUCUUGAGCCUAUAUGUGGUGAGUGCAGGAACUCUGAUCUGAUAGAGACAAUAGAGUUGGAGAACCUUCUGAUAAACGCGUCCAUAACAAUGCAUUCAGCGGAAGCACGAAAGGAAAGCAGAGGAGCACAUGCUCGGGAGGAUUUCACGGUUUCAUUCUCUUCCUCUUAAAACAUUCAUAUAUAUAUAUACACGACUAUAUCAUAUAGCGAUGAAGAUGAUGGUGAUGAUAGAGAACCAGCACUCAAAUAUAUAUAAUGACUUGUGUGCGCAGAAAAGGGAGGAUGGAGAAUGGAUGAAGCAUACAUUGGGGUACUGGGAAGAUGAGAAAGUGAGGUUGGAGUAUAGGCCUGUUCACAUGGACACUCUCGACGAUGAGAUUGAGACUUUCCCUCCCAAAGCUCGCGUCUAUUGAUUUCUCUUCCCUCAAACAAGCUAAGCAAGCUGCAGCUCUUCUUUAGGUGUCAUCGGAAUAAUAAUAUCAGAAGAAAAAGAGGGAACUGGGAGAAUACACAAAGGAGCGUUCCUCGUCCUCUGAGUUUUACAUUUUUACACCUGAAUGGUUGUGAGUAAUAAAAUGAGAAAAACCGUUAAUUUGGUUGGUAUAAUUCUCUUUGAUAUCACUUUCUUGUUAGCAUUUUCACUGUCUCCGACUAUUCUCUUUGAUAUUACUGUUAUUUU
rnacentral:lncRNA from 1 species